GGCGACUUCGACUUCAAAAUCCCGAGUCCGAUAGCUGGAGAACCAAAAUCUAUAAAAAAAGAGAAUCAAGGAGACGGAGUAAGCAAUUUAUGCUUAGUAAGUUUUGAGCAAGGGAUUCCAGCAUAACAAAAGUAUAGCAUUCAUGUAGCUAAACGGAUAAUUUCAUAUGCACAAUUUUUCAAUAUCAUACUUACUUCACAUUACCAACCCUUUUAUUCAUACACAAAGAUCAACUUAGCCAAAGGCCGAUAGCUCAUUUAUCAACUGAGCGAAUACUUAUUU
rnacentral:lncRNA from 1 species